GUUGCUUUUACAUCACUUUUCUGUCCCCUGUUUCAUCACUACCACCAUUCAAUACGCUCAUGUAAACACAACCGGUAAACGAGUAUGGAGUAGCUUAGUGAAGUGGCGGGAGGAACCGAUAAACGAAUUUACUGUUCGCUAAGAUUACGCCGUAAUAAAAAAA